rnacentral:rRNA from 1 species
AUUGAACGCUGGCGGCAGGCCUAACACAUGCAAGUCGAGCGGAAGAAGGGAGCUCGCUCCUGGAUUCAGCGGCGGACGGGUGAGUAAUGCCUAGGAAUCUGCCUGGUAGUGGGGGAUAACGUCCGGAAACGGGGGCUAAUACCGCAUACGCCCUGAGGGAGAAAGUGGGGGAUCUUCGGACCUCACGCUAUCAGAUGAGCCUAGGUCGGAUUAGGUAGUUGGUGGGGUAAAGGCCUACCAAGGCGGCGGUCCGUAACUGGUCUGAGAGGAAGAUCAGUCACCCUGGAAAUGAGACACGGGCCAGGCUCCUUCGGGAGGCAACAGUGGGGAAUAUUGGACAAUGGGCGAAAGGCUGGUCCAGCCAUGCCGCGUGGGUGAAGAAGGUCUUCGGAUUUUAAAGCACCUUAAGUUGGGAGGAAGGGCAGUAAGUUAAUACCUUGGUGUUUUGACGUUUCCAAGAGAAUGAGGUCCGGCUAACUUCGUG